CUCACGCCGAAGCUAUUCUGUUAUUCUUAACAUCCGAAAGUGACGCAUCGCCGAACUAAAGGAGAUCUUAUAAAGGAAGAUAAAAACACAAGAAGAAGAGGAGGAGGGGGAGAAGUAUAGGUAUAGGAGAAUCAAAGGCCUCCUCCGACAUUCAAAAGCCUGAAUUUCUCCUGCCUUCGCGAGGAUGCGAUUGUCCCUCCUGCUAGCGGCGUCCCUGGCAGCCCUUCUGGGGACUCAGGUCCAAGUCCGGGCAAUACUCCUCGGCACUGGUGCAGCCACUGGGACGGCCCUCGGCUUAGGCAUUGGCGCAGGUGGACUCGCCGGAAUAAGCGGCCUUGCUUCAGGCCUCGGUGGAAUUGGAGCCGGAGUCGCAGGACUGGGUCUUCUAGGUGCUCUGAAGCUGGGACUCCUGGCCAUCUUGAAGAAAAAGUUGAAAGGGG